rnacentral:lncRNA from 1 species
AAAGAAAUAAAAAUUGGGUUCAAUCACAAGGUGGGGGUGCAACAGUAUUCAGGGGUAUUAAACAGCAAGCAGAGAAAAAUGAAAGGGAAUUGGGCUUUUGGAAAACAGAUGGGGCGUUGGGCUUAAAGGGAACCAGUUUUAGGUCCGGUUCGAUUCAAGGGCUGAACUGGUUCGGCCUAACAGUAUAUAUAGGCUGUGGACUGGUUUUUUUCCAUUUUUCAUUCCUCUUUCUCUCUCUUCCUUCUCUAAUCUCACCGGUCUCUCUCUUCUCUCUCCCAUACAUCUUCAUCUUCUCCAGUGAGAUAUAAAGGGGUUCCGGCGGCGGUUGGCCGGCCGGUGCGGCGGCACCACCGCGUCGGAACCCUAUCAAUUUAUUUUUUGAUUUUUUUUAGUUCUUUCUACUUGUUCUCUUCUUCUCUACUUGAUUCUAACCCUAAAUUCAAUAACACGCACACGCAGACCUAGAUCUAAAGGGGAACAAAAAUACUACCUUAUGUAUUUGAUUGAUGGUGCGAUUCCUGUGUUGUAGAGACGGAUUGAAACCUCGUUGCGUUCACUUUGUCCGGUACAGACUCGGAUUCGGCUCUGAACUCGCGAUCCGUUGUGACGGCUGUGUUGUUGGCACUCGGCGUGAUUCUGGCUUGAGGGUUUGGCUGUUGUGAGUCGAGUCUGGCCUUGUGGUUGAUUUGAUUCCCGGCUGCUUAUGUGUGUCUCUGGCUUUCUCUAUACUUCUCCUCCCUCGCUUCUUCUCUGCGUGUCCCUUCUGGGCUGAGGCUAGGGUUUGUUGAUAAGAGCAUAAAAGAUGUGGCUUGAGGAGAAGAAAAAUGUAUUUCUGUUCCUGAACUUGUGAUUGAUGCGCGUGAACUGGAUUGGAACCGCCUCUGAAGCGUGUGACAGGCUGCGUGGAUUGGAUGAGGAUGAGGAUGAAUGAAAGAAGGCUGUGUGUGAUUGAUGCGCGCGAACUUGG